rnacentral:rRNA from 1 species
AACGAACGUUGGCGGCAGGCUUAACACAUGCAAGUCGAACGCGUGUAGCAAUACACGAGUGGCGCACGGGUGAGUAACGCGUGGAUAUCUGCCUUUUGGUUCGGAAUAACCCCGGGAAACUGGGGCUAAUACCGGAUGGUUCCUUCGGGAUAAAGAUUUAUCGCCAAAAGAUGAGUCCGCGUCCGAUUAGCUAGUUGGUGAGGUAAUGGCUCACCAAGGCGACGAUCGGUAGCUGGUCUGAGAGGACGAUCAGCCACACUGGGACUGAGACACGGCCCAGACUCCUACGGGAGGCAGCAGUGGGGAAUAUUGGACAAUGGGGGCAACCCUGAUCCAGCCAUGCCGCGUGAGUGAUGAAGGCCUUCGGGUUGUAAAGCUCUUUUGGCGGGGACGAUGAUGACGGUACCCGCAGAAUAAGCCCCGGCUAACUUCGUGCCAGCCGCCGCGGUAA